rnacentral:rRNA from 1 species
GAUGAACGCUGGCGGCGUGCCUAAUACAUGCAAGUCGAGCGAACAGACGAGGAGCUUGCUCCUCUGGCGUUAGCGGCGGACGGGUGAGUAACACGUGGAUAACCUACCUAUAAGACUGGGAUAACUUCGGGAAACCGGAGCUAAUACCGGAUAAUAUAUUGAACCGCAUGGUUCAAUGGUGAAAGACGGUUUUGCUGUCACUUAUAGAUGGAUCCGCGCCGCAUUAGCUAGUUGGUAAGGUAACGGCUUACCAAGGCAACGAUGCGUAGCCGACCUGAGAGGGUGAUCGGCCACACUGGAACUGAGACACGGUCCAGACUCCUACGGGAGGCAGCAGUAGGGAAUCUUCCGCAAUGGGCGAAAGCCUGACGGAGCAACGCCGCGUGAGUGAUGAAGGUCUUCGGAUCGUAAAACUCUGUUAUUAGGGAAGAACAAAUGUGUAAGUAACUAUGCACGUCUUGACGGUACCUAAUCAGAAAGCCACGGCUAACUACGUG